CAACAAACUACGUAGCUGAUACUCUUCCAUGAUAACUGCUUUUGUGUAGUUUAUACACUAUACUGCAUUUAAGAUGUUAAAUGAAUACACAUGCUAAAGCUGAAUUUGCACAUUAAGCUGUGGAGUCAUUUUAAGUGAAUUUUGAAUAUUGAGAAAUGAGAGAUCAUUUAAUACUCAGUCUAAAUCAUGAUUUUCAUUGUUCUGGGUAUAUUAAAGGGGUUUGAGGGGAAGCAAGAUAUUAGAGUAGUUAAUGAACAAUAUUUUAAUAUUGACUUUAAAAUACUGUAAUAAAUCCUUUGUGGAGAGUAGGCAGGAAGUGUUUCUCUCAGAACUAGAAGGCAAUAGCAUUUAAGAACUUAAGUUCCCAUCAGAUACUGUCUAAGUAGAAUGGACAGAAUAACACUUGGGAUCAUUACUUAGAGAAUGCCCAGUUGUCAUUAUGUGAUUCAGUUGAACACAGGAUCAUUUAUCAUUUGGCUCUUGAAGCAACCUGUAAUGGCAACAUGUUUUGGAAGUUGAACAUAAUGAAUAUAAAGCCCCCACAAAAAGAGACAUUUGUUCACAUAAUCUCUGAACUGACCAGUCUGUAAUUGAAAACAGAAAGAUAAAAUUAAUCUCAUACUGUCAGGAAGGCACACAUUCCAUCCCCCCAGUAUUCUGUCCAUUUAGAAAACAAGUGUUAACACCUCUCCAGUUGGCAAGGGGGCUGACAGUUCAGAGUUCUCUUGGUUAACAUCAUGGUACUUAAACUGUUUAUCCACUCCUUAUGUCAUCAGGCAUGUUAUCCACUGCCACUGUGCUAGGUUUUAAAAUCUAUCUUAGGGAGUUCUCGUCGUGGCGCAGUGGUUAACGAAUCCGACUAGGAACCACGAUCGGUCCCUGCCCUUGCUCAGUGGGUUAACAAUCCGGCGUUGCCCUGAGCUGUGGUGUAGGUUGCAGACGCGGCUCAGAUCCUGCGUUGCUGUGGCUCUGGUGUAGGCCAGUGGCUACAGCUCCGAUUCGACCCCUAGCCUGGGAACCUCCAUAUGCCGUGAAAGCAGCCCGAGAAAUGGCAAAAAGACAAAAUAAAUAAAUAAAUAAAUAAAUAAAAUCUUAGGACAUUUGUAUCAGUCAGAAAUGCAUUUAUUUGCAAGGAAUGGAGAAGAAAAAUGACUUAAGCAUUAGCCACAGAAUUUCAAAGGAGCAGUGUUAAUAGCAUUAUUUCAGCUUUUUGGGCUGUCAUAGCUCAUUUUAUUGGAUCAAGGCUCUUGUUUUUCAGUAGCCAUCAUUAUAACUUCUUAUUUCUGUGUUUGUUGCCUUACAAUCACAGUAUGGCUGCCCCAGCUCCAGGCAUCACUAUUGUAUUCACAAGAAAAAAGCCAUCGAGGGUAGGGUCAGUUAUUAAGGGACAAGCUAGAGAAAAAAAUCUGCUAGUGCCCACAACACAUCCUCUUACAUCUCAAUGAACAGAAAUGGAUCACAUGGUUACUAUGAGUGUGGAAUAAACUGGAGAAACAGCUCCUUUUUUGCUCUAGAAUAAUAGACAAGAGAUAGGCCCACUGAAAUUGGCUAACGAGUUAGCUAAUUCAAAGUUUCUACCGCUGCAGCCCAAAUUAGCCAUUGUUGCCUGCACCUUGAUGUCACCCUUUGUGUUUUUCUUGUAUUUUGUCCUGAAGCCCAGCAGGCUCUUCUGUGCUUGAUGGAGUACAUCACCAGACCAUGCAAACCAUGGGGGCAGGGAGUGGCUCUAGAGGCAGAAGCAGGCAGUGUUAGUUCUUAGAGAUCUACCCACAUGUUACAGGAAAUCAUUGGUAUGAGGGUGUUUCUAAAGCAGAAGCCAAUUAUGACCUCAGGAAUCUGGGCAAAUCCGGAUGUAUGAAGUGAGCUUCACAACUUAUUCAACUGCUGAAGGUACUGCCUGCAGUGAGGAGGCAGGGGUAACGGUCGCUGUGUGCCAUGGAGCCUUGUUUCUAUAGUGAGAAAGCCUCCUCAGGGUAACGGUUUGUUCUUUCUGCUUUGACACUAGCAGUGGAUAACUUUUUCUGUAGCCGUCUCAGUGGAAACCUUUUUCCACUCUCCUAAAACUUGAGAGAGAUCAAAAGGAUAAUCUUGCUCUUUGGCAUUUAUCAUUCAGUCAAAAUGCUUUGACAAAGUCUCUUUCCACUUGGGUAACUUGACUUUUCAAAACAUCUUUAGAUACUGAACCCUAUUGUUCGCUGACUUCAAAAUGCUCUUCUUAAAAAUGUGUUAUUUGCUCAGAUCUUGACUCUGUAACCUGUGUUCUACUUAAAUUCAUGUGGGGGCCUCAUGGAAUGCUUUGAUUUGGUCAGGCUCACCUCUAACAGCAAUUCCUACCAUCUCCGCUAGAUGGCGGUCACCCACGAGAUGAUGCCCACAUUUCCCCUGGGCUUGACUCCUCCAAAACUUCUCCUCCUCCAAAACCUUCAAUUGGGAGCCACUGUGUCUUUCUUUGUUUCCUGGGUCUUGAGUCCUUACUGAACCCUGUAAGUCCUAUUUUGUCUUUCUUUACUGUCCAUCAAAUUGAUUUUCAUCCUUUGUUCCUUGGCACCUUCUAUUUAUUCUUCUUGAUUCUCACAAUGGUGACGUUGGAGUAGGAAAAUGAAUUUGUACCUGUUUUUGUUGUUGUUGUUUUAUUUUUAUUUAUUUUUGCUUUUUAGGGCCCCACCUGCGAAUUACAGAAGUUCCCAGGUUAGUGGUUGAAUGGGAGCUACAACUGUUGGCCUACACUAUAGCCAUAGCAAUGUUGGAGCCGAGCCAUGUUUUCAACCUACACCACAGCUCGUGGCAACAACGGAUGCUUAACCCACUGAGUGAGAUCAGGGAUCAAACCCUGUGUCCUCAUAGAUCCCAGUUGGGUUCAUUAACUGCUGAAUCACAAAGGGAACUAUGAAUUUGUACUUGUUGAACGCAUAUUUUGUGGAAACUGCUGGGAACUUUGCCUCUGUUAUUUCUUUUGAUCCUCAGAACUGGAACUAGUCCUUAAAUUUUAACAUCCUUCAGUAGGUAAAUAUUCUUAGGAGAGCUCAGGUUCUUCCUGGCUUCAACUUUCCCCUUUAACAUAAUCUGGUCCCAUAUCUUUCAUCACUAUAAUCAAGUUUCACACUACCAAAGGUUAACAUCAGUUAAUGGUGAAAUACUCAUUUCUUCAAUUUCUUGCUCCCAAGUCCUACUGUGGUCACCCUUAUCUGGACAUUAGAAUAGCUAUUUUCUUGGCCUCUUCUCUUCCAGCUUUUCCUACUCCACUCCUGCCUAUUUUUAUUUUAUCCUGCUAAAAUUGUGAUUUGAGUGUAUCUCUCAAUUACUCUGAAUCCUUUGAUGGUGUCCACUCUUGUAUUAUAUUCAUUUUCACCUCUUUAUUCUGGCAGUUAAAUCUUUCUGCAGGCACACCCAGAUCUCUUCCCAUCCUCAUCUUCCUUGCUCUUAAGGAGCUUCCAAGUAUCUCCUAAUCUAAAUUAUCUCUGUCCUAUGUUCUUCUGACAUCGUUGUUUUGUUCUUGACUUUGUUUAGUCUAAAACGAGGUCUUCAAUAUCCACUUGAUGAAAUCUAGUCUCUUAUGUAGAGCACAGUUUAUGUACAGUGUUAUGUUUCAUGCUAAGUUACUGUACACUAUCACUCUGCUUGGUCCUUCUAUAAUAAUGCAUACCACUUGCUUACAUGGUACUUUUCAAAUACUUCCUUGGAAAAGAAUACUUGAAAGUAUUCUUUGAAUGUAUACCAUUGAAUUUUUAAGACAGUUAAAGAUAGGAAAAUUGCCAUGUACAUUUUCAAAUUGCAUAUAGCUUAAUAUUUUGACUGAUUUUUAAAAAUUCUUAAUCAAAUCUUGACUAGACCAAUAAAGUUUAAAGAGCUCAAAUGUAAUAUUAGUAACUUUAGGGGACACCUAAAAUUCCAUAGUCACCAAAAAUAUAUUAACAUGAUGAGAUUACAGUUGUAAGAAAUACAAGGUGUCACAUUUGUCAUACAGUGGCAUUGACAGAGAAAGCUAGAAAGGUCACACAAUCUUGUCUCUUCAUCAUUAGAAAGUUUCUUUCAAAUCCUCUCUAUGUGUAGUUAGUUGUACCGUUUGAGAAGUUACCAAAGAAUCUAUUUCUGAUGUACAAUGACUCAGAUAACUGCUACUCCCUAAAUAUCUCGGAUAUCGCAAAAGAGCAUGAGCAAAAUGGGGGCCAGGAGGAAAAUGUAUAUGUUAAUGGAAAUGUAUUCCUUAAAAUGUUUUCAGAUAAAAAAUGUGUUAUAUAUAGCAGUGGUUUUCUAAGUGUGGUUGAUUUGUAUCAGUGUCACCUGAGAAAAAUGCCUCCUGCUCUUCUGAAUCAAACUGGGGAUGGGAUGCAGAUUCCUUUGCCUUAUGAAUCCUUUCAGGUGAUUCUGACGAAUGUCGAAGUUAUAAAAAUCAUUGAUACAUACAACCACUUAUAAAUCCCACUGCUUUUAUUUAUAAAUUCUCAACAUUGUAAAGCAUGAUGUAUCAUCAAGAUAUAUAUUAAAAAUCCAUUUUUUUAGCCCAGAGAAAAUUUAUCACUAAAAUAAUGUCCUGGUAGUAGCUGAAUUGAAUGAUAAUAAUGAAAUAGGAAAACUUGGAUGUAUUUGCUAAGCACCUGUCUGUCAGCUUCUAUUUACUGGAAGGUCCAUCCCCACCACCCCCACCUCCCCGCCACCCCAGCCUCAUUAGACAGUGAGCUUCAUAAAGUUGAGUGUGUCUAUUCCAUUCAUGACCAGGCUCAUAUAUGCACUUGAUAUGUGAGAAACAUAGCAAUUCUGGAAAUCAAAUGUGAACAAGAAAAAUGUGUUUUACCACAAGGAGUAAUUCUAAUCAGGGAGACAGGGCAUAAACAAAUUUUAAAAUGCUUUUUCGUACAGUAGGAGUACUAACUGGGUGCCCUGAAAGAAAAGAGUCAAACAGGCUUCAGAUGGGCUCUCAGAGAAGGUCUGGUCAAGAAUGUAUUUACCAAGACCUGCAACUGGAGAAACAGCCUGAAGGUCUGGAGGGAAAGCUUCCCUGGCAGACAUGAAGAAAGGGGCAGGAAAAGAUAGUGUCACUGGAGAAACUGUCAGGGUGUCUGCUUAUUUAGCAAGAGGAAGAUUGACAGGAAAUGACGUUGGAGCGUCAACAACGGGUCAGAAUGAGAUCCUUGUGUGCUGGGGCCAAGAACUCAUUGGAAA
rnacentral:lncRNA from 1 species